rnacentral:rRNA from 1 species
AGCGGAGGGAUCAUUGCUGGAACGCGCUUCGGCGCACCCAGAAACCCUUUGUGAACUUAUACCUAUUGUUGCCUCGGCGCAGGCCGGCCUCUUCACUGAGGCCCCCUGGAAACAGGGAGCAGCCCGCCGGCGGCCAACCAAACUCUUGUUUCUACAGUGAAUCUCUGAGUAAAAAACAUAAAUGAAUCAAAACUUUCAACAACGGAUCUCUUGGUUCUGGCAUCGAUGAAGAACGCAGCGAAAUGCGAUAAGUAAUGUGAAUUGCAGAAUUCAGUGAAUCAUCGAAUCUUUGAACGCACAUUGCGCCCUCUGGUAUUCCGGAGGGCAUGCCUGUUCGAGCGUCAUUUCAACCCUCAAGCCUGGCUUGGUGAUGGGGCACUGCCUGUAAUAGGGCAGGCCCUGAAAUCUAGUGGCGAGCUCGCCAGGACCCCGAGCGUAGUAGUUAUAUCUCGCUCUGGAAGGCCCUGGCGGUGCCCUGCCGUUAAACCCCCAACUUCUGAAAAUUUGACCUCGGAUCAGGUAGGAAUACCCGCUGAACUUAAGC